CAAAAGUUCCUCCUCCGGUAUGUAUAUUUUAGUUAACCACAGACAGAUUAUUUGAAUCAUAUGGAAUAGUCAUGCUUCCAGAAUAGAAACCCAUAAUAUACCUAGCCAAAGGAUUUUACAUUGUUUAAUGCUAAUUUGGUCCCUGCAACUUUGAGGAAGGCUUCAAGCAUUCCAAAUUACUUUUAUUAAAUUACUCUUCACAGUAAAAUCGUUCGGUAUAUUAGCUUAAAUCCAACCUGCAGAUGAUAAUCAUGCAGCUGAAAUUGAAGAGGAAGAUGAAAUUGAAGAAAUGAAGAACUUGCUAUUUUAGUAGUAGCCGUUAGUCUUUAAAUUGUAACGGCUAGUUUACUUUCUGUUUUUAGCAAGUAUCACAGCUGGUAUUCCUAUCCUUUGGAAUCGUAAUAUGUCCCUGGAUCCAUUCCCAAGUGGAAGGAUUGUAGCCUCCGACGGCCUAAAAUUUAAGCAUUGUUUAUCAAUAUGUCUCCCGUAUUAAAACUCCAUAUUUAGUCAUACACCACAAAUGCCUUGUAAUGGAAAUGUUAUAUAUUUUGCUAUGAGUAGCAAUCACAUGGACACACACACUUAUGUGUACCUUCUUA